GACGAACGCUGGCGGCGUGCUUAACACAUGCAAGUCGAACGGAAAGGCCCUGCUUUUGUGGGGUGCUCGAGUGGCGAACGGGUGAGUAACACGUGAGUAACCUGCCCUUGACUUUGGGAUAACUUCAGGAAACUGGGGCUAAUACCGGAUAGGAGCUCCUGCUGCAUGGUGGGGGUUGGAAAGUUUCGGCGGUUGGGGAUGGACUCGCGGCUUAUCAGCUUGUUGGUGGGGUAGUGGCUUACCAAGGCUUUGACGGGUAGCCGGCCUGAGAGGGUGACCGGGCACAGCGGGACAGAGAGACGGCCAGGACUGGGGGGGGGGGAAGGAGGGGGGGGUAAUGCAGCAGGGGGGGAGGCAGGAGACAGGAAGGCCGGGUGGGGGACGGCGGCCUGCGGGUUGGAGACGGCUGUCGGCGGGGAGGGAGGGGGAGGGAGGGUAGUGGGAAAAGAAGCCCCGGCAACCUGCGUGCAAGCAGCGGCGGUAAGGAUCGGAAGAGCACGCGACGAAC
rnacentral:rRNA from 1 species